rnacentral:rRNA from 1 species
CACGUAGGCACCAAGCGUUGUCCGGAUUUAUUGGGCGUAAAGAGCUACGUAGGCGGUUCGGUAAGUUCGGGUGUGAAAACUCUGGGCUACAACCCCGAGAGCCGCCACCCGAUACUGCUGUGACUUGAGUUCGGUAGGGGAGCGGGGAAGUUCCUGGUGGUAGCGGGUGAAAUGACGCAGAUAUCAGGAGGAACACCAGUGGCGAAGGCGCCGCUCCUGGGCCGAGACUGACGCUGAGGAGCGAAAGCGUGGGUAGCAAACAGG